UAAUACUCCAUAGUUCGUUAUUACUGGAAUGUUUUUCGAACGAAAGAUCCGUCGCUUCAGGAUGAGUCUGCGCCCGAUUAGGUAGUUGUUGGGGUAAUUGCCCAACAAGCCUGUAAUCGGUACGGGUUGUGGGAGCAAGAGCCCGGAGAUGGAUUCUGAGACACGAAUCCAGGCCCUACGGGGCGCAGCAGGCGCGAAAACUUUACCAUGCGGGCAACCGUGAUAAGGAAACCCCGAGUGCCAGCACAGGCUGGCUGUCCGCCAGUUUAACAACUGGCGAAGAAAGGGCCGGGCAAGACCGGUGCCAGCCGCCGCGGUAAUACCGGCGGCUCGAGUGGUGGCCGCUAUUACUGGGCUUAAAGGGUCCGUAGCUUGAUAAUAGGGUCCCUUGAGAAAUCCGCCGGCUUAACUGGCGGGCGUUCAGGGGAAACUUGUUUUCUAGGGACCGGGAGAGGUGAGGGGUACUGCCGGGGUAGGAGUGAAAUCCUGUAAUCCCGGUGGGACCACCUAUGGCGAAGGCAUCUCACCAGAACGGGUCCGACAGUGAGGGACGAAAGCUGGGGGAGCAAACCGGAUUAGAUACCCGGGUAGUCCCAGCUGUAACUAUGUGCGUUAGGUGUGU
rnacentral:rRNA from 1 species